AGAGAAUCACCUGCAGUUGGAAACAGCAGGGAGAGCUUGGGAGUCUGCUUCCAGAACAACCGUCCACCGUCACUGGUUGGAAAAAGGGAGACCCAAAACAGGAUCCCAUGGUAUAUUAUUUCUCAACCAGC
rnacentral:lncRNA from 1 species